rnacentral:miRNA from 1 species
GGCAGUCCGAGCCGUGCUG